GCAUUAAUGUGGUAGUGGUAACCUGGGUCAUUGCCAUGUUUCGUCUAGUUAUUCGCAGAUGUCGUCUCGACCCGCCGGGAGUUCGAUUCUCUCUUAAUGCA